ensembl:lncRNA LINC02284 long intergenic non-protein coding RNA 2284
CACAGAACUAUCUGGGCCUCUUCCUCUACCCCUCCUUGUGUGAUCGCUCCUUUCAAAAGCAACAGCCAAAGCAGAUGCAAGGGAGAUGCAUUGGUGCUCAUAAAUUCAAGGAGCUGAAAUGGCAACAGCUGUGGCAAUUUCAGGAUUUCAGCAGGUAAUCAAGUAAGUGCAAAAGCGGGAUUUGACAAUUCUACAGGGGACUGGGACAGAGGGCAGCGAGAACUUGAGCUUCAAGGAGAAUCUUCACUAGCUAUCAACAAGAAAUGUAAAUGCUGUGACUUUACCCAGUUAAGCACAGCAGAUUUUCCUGCUUUCAACUCUAAUCCUUGAGCAGCAGGAGUACCCUUUCCCAUCUCACAACAUUUGACUUUCUCAGAUAUAUUUAUUCUAUGUUAUAUACUGCAGUUCACCUAUGUAUUUUGGGGUUAAUUUAUCACUGGUUGAAUAACAUCGUUCAAUAGACUUAUGAAAAGAUGGGCAUUUUCAGUUGUGCCAAUUUAGGUGAGGCUUAUGGACAGUGUUUCUUCCAAAAUGUUCCCAAGUCUAAAGGACCAUGAUUCUCAAAUUCUCUGUAAAGUAUAACUAGGUCUCUUUCUCACCUUGGAAGAACAGCAGCUAGAGGCCAGCAUUCAAGGCAUGGAACGGAGAAGGUAUAUGGUGCCUUGUUCUCUUUUGUUAUUAGAUGUAAUUAUGAAAUAUAAAACUAGGACAAAAGCAAGUUGUAAGUGUUAGCAUAGUGGCUACGAGCACAGACUCAAGCCAGUCUGCCUAGGUUCAAAUCCCAGCUCUGCCACUUGCGGGCUUUGUGACCUAGGACAAGUUUCUUUACUGUUUUACUGUCCCAGUUUCUGCAUCUGUAUAACAUUGCUAGUAAUACCCACUGCAAAUGAUUUUAUGAGAAUUAAUUUACUCACUGUUUGGGAAGUACUUAGAAUAAUGCCUAGCAAUAGUAAGCACUCAGUAAAUGUCUUUUAUAUAGAGCAUGUAUCUAUCUCUUCAAUAACAAGCACCUGUGCAACAGUCAGAACACCACAAAAUAGCACUAUAAAGACAGUAAAAAAUAUCCCUUUGUUUUUUUUUAACAUGUCUUUGUAUUAAUUAGAGCUCUGCCAGCUGCAAAUUCAGAAAUCCAAUUUCUGAACUAGCCUAAGGGGACACAAAAGGAACUUAUUGCCUCUUGGGAUUGGGAAGUUCAGUGUGCCUCUGAUUUCAGGAACAGCUGAAUCCAAGAGCUCAGACUCUGUCCCCAUCACUGCUGCUGUCUCUCUCCCUUUGUCUCUUGACUGUGCUCACAUAAUUAUACCUGCAGUCUUUCACAUGACAGGAAAGGUGACCACCACCAGCCCCUUGCUUAUACCCAACUAAUACCUAUAUAUUAGUUGGUCUUACACUGCUAUAAAGACAUACCUGAGACUGGGUAAUUUAUAAAGAAAA